GCACGCAAUAGGGGGUGCCUUUACUCGACUAGUCGAGAUUAAAUACAGGCUGAGAUUAUACCCAUUGAACCUGAUGCAGAUAAUGCUGCCGCAGGGAGGUAUGUUAAACAAUUGU
rnacentral:ncRNA from 2 species